AGGUUUUUGCUGGCUUUUUGAGCCGGCUCCUCUUGAAUGCAUUAGCUUGAACCUUUGCUGUAUCGGCCUCGGUGUGAUAAUUGUCUACGCCGUGGCUGUGAGGCUUACUUUAAUUGGGCUCAGCUUCCAACCGUCUGCUUGCGGACAACAUCUCAUUGACCUCUGACCUCAAAUCAGGUAGGAUUACCCGCUGAACUUAA
rnacentral:misc_RNA from 1 species